UAUAUUUGCCUGUAAUCCCCCCCAAACCUCCACAUUUCUCUAUGCAAACUCAUGGCAACAAGUAGCAUGGAACGUAGCAAGUAAAGGCAAAUAGAAUAACUAGUAAAUAUUCUAGCCUUUGUAGUGUUUUGUUUAAAUAAUUGAUUUUGAGUGUUUGUUGUGUGUAUUGUUGUUUAGCAUCUUUCAAAUGACCUACUUUUAUAACUAACUAGCUAACCUUAGGUGUCUCCAUUGAUCAGAAGCAAGAAUGGUUCUGUGCUUAUGUACCGGAGUGUAACAACUGCUCCGAUUAACCUCAUAUGCAUUUCAUGGUUUUCCGACCUCUGUAAAGCAUCGCUGGAACCGAGUGAUAAGACAUGAGGCGUGACAUGCGCAACGUCGGGCUCACCCCACGAAAAGCAGUGUAUGAUCAACGCCACCCCCAGCCAGGAGAUCUGCUAGUAGUGAUGGCUCUCCCAUUCUUAGAUACCCGAAAAACCACACAAGGGUUAAGCAUUCCAGAUGAUUUUCAAAGGCUGUGUCCUAACCAACUCUACUUACUUAUUUGGAGUUCAAUGGAAACAUUGAAGUUCCAGGCACGUGGGAUGAUGCCAGAUGCUGGAAUAGCAGCAAUGCCACGUACAGGCAGGGAUGACUGGGGCCUUCAGUGGGUAAGAUGUGGGUGCCAACUUUGGGAACAUGUGGUCCUUGAAAAACGCCUCAUCUCCAGCAAUAUGAGUCUGCCAGAGGUUAUCACGCUGGAUGGUGAUGGUGAUGGUGAUGGAGGCUUUGGUGGUCCACACAAUGAAGAAGCAUCAAUGAAAUGGCAAUUGAAUUUACGCCAGAGGCGGUUCCAAGAUGCCGGCGGAGAAGAGGUAUUUGGAGUGGACUUCUAAUCCGACUCAGGAGGCGUGCACACCAUCCACCGCUUCAGAGUAUAUUACUCGCUAAUGUUCAGUCUCUGGACAAUAAAGUAGACAAGCUCAGGGAGAGGAUGUCCUUCCAGAGAGACAUCAGAGACCAUAACAUUAUCUGUUUUACGGAAUCAUUCAUCUCUCGGGAUAUACUGUCCCCGUCCAUACAGCCAGCUGGGUUCUCAGUACAGACAGGAAUAAAGAACUCACCGGGAAGAAGAAAGGCGGUGGUGUAUGUUUCAUGAUUAACUACUGAUAGUGUGAUUGUGAUAACAUAUAGAAACGCAAGUCCUUUUGUUCACCUGACCUAGAAUACCUCACAAUCAAAUUCAGACUGUAUUACCUCACAAAAUAAUUAUCUUUGGUUAUAGUCACAGUCGUGUAUAUUCCUCCUCAAGCCGAACCACGACAGCCCUCAAGGAACUACAGUGGACUUUGUACAAACUGGAAACCACAUAUCCUGAGGCCGCAUUUAUUGUAGCUGGGGAUUUUAAAACUUCUUAGGGCUGAGAUCCCGUGAACGGGAUCGAUAUCAAGCUCGAGACCCUGGGUCUUGACCCCGCCCUGUGCAACUGCGUACUGGACUUCCUGACGGGCCGCCCCCAGGUGGUGAGGGUAGGCAACAACAUCUCCACCCCGCUGAUCCUCAACACUGGGGCCCCACAAGGGUGCGUUCUGAGCCCUCUCCUGUACUCCCUGUUCACCCAUAACCUCACACUCAACGUCAACAAAACUAAGGAGAUGAUUGUGGACAUCAGGAAACAGCAGAGGGAACACCCCCCUAUCCACAUUGAUGGAACAGUAGUGGAGAGGGUAGUAAGUUUUAAGUUCCUCGGCGUACACAUCACAGACAAACUGAAUUGGUCCACCCACACAGACAGCAUCGUGAAGAAGGCGCAGCAGCGCCUCUUCAACCUCAGGAGGCUGAAGAAAUUCGGCUUGUCACCAAAAGCACUCACAAACUUCUACAGACAAACUUCUACAGAUGCACAAUCGAGAGCAUCCUAUCGGGCUGUAUCACCACCUGGUACGGCAACUGCUCCGCCCACAACCGUAAGGCUCUCCAGAGGGUAGUGAGGUCUGCACAACGCAUCACCGGGGGAAAACUACCUGCCCUCCAGGACACCUACACCACCCGAUGUCACAGGAAGGCCAUAAAGAUCAUCAAGGAUAACAACCACCCGAGCCACUGCCUGUUCACCCCGCUAUCAUCCAGAAGGCGAGGUCAGUACAGGUGCAUCAAAUCUGGGACCGAGAGACUGAAAAACAGCUUCUAUCUCAAGGCCAUCAGACUGUUAAACAGCCACCACUAACAUUGAGUGGCUGCUGCCAACACACUGACUCAACUCCAGCCACUUUAAUAAUGGGAAAUUAUGUAAAAUAUAUCACUAUCCACUUUAAACAAUGCUACCUAAUAUAAUGUUUACAUACCCUACAUUAUUCAUCUCAUAUGUAUACAUAUAUACUGUACUCUAGAUCAUCUACAGCAUCUUUAUGUAAUACAUGUAUCACUAGCCACUUUAACUAUGCCACUUUGUUUACAUACUCAUCUCAUAUGUAUAUACUGCACUCAAUACCAUCUACUGUAUCUUGCCUAUGCCGCUCUGUACUAUCACUCAUUCAUAUAUCUUUAUGUACAUAUUCUUUAUCCCCUUACACUUGUGUCUAUAAGGUAGUAGUUUUGGAAUUGUUAGCUUGAUUACUUGUUGCUUAUUACUGCAUUGUCGGAACUAGAAGCACAAGCAUUUUGCUACACUCGCAUUAACAUCUGCUAACCAUGUGUAUGUGACAAAUAAAAUUGGAUUUGAUUUGAUUUUGCCAACAGCCAGUGAAAGUGCAGGGCGCCAAAUUCAAAACAACAGAAAUCCCAUAAUUAAAAUUCCUCAAACAUAGAUGUAUUUCACACCAUUUUAAAGAUACACUUCUUGUUAAUCCCACAACAGUGACCGAUUUCAAAUAGGCUUUAUGGUGAAAGCACCACAAACGAUUAUGUUCGGUCAGAGCCAAGUCACAGAAAAACACAGCCAUUUUUCCAGCCAAAGAGAGGAGUUACAAAAAUCAGAAAUAGAGAGAGAAUUAAUCACUAACCUUCGAUGAUCUUCAUCAGAUGACACUCAUAGGACUUCAUGUUACACAAUACAUGUAUGUUUUUUUCGAUAAAGUUCAUAUUUAUAUAAAAAAUUGUCAGUAUACAUUGGUGCGUUAUGAUCUUCAUCAGAAUGCACUCCCAGGAAUCCCAGUUCCACAAUAAAUGUUUGUUUUGUUCGAUAAUGUCCAUCAUUUAUGACAAAUAGCUACUUUUGUUAGCAUGUAUUGUAAACAAAUCCAAACUCACGAAGCGCAUUUACUAGGAGCAGACGAAAUGUCAAAAUGUUCCGUUACAGUCCGUAGAAACAUGUCAAACGAUGUAUAGAAUCAAUCUUUAGGAUGUUUUUAACAUAAAUCUGCAAUAGUGUUCCAACCGGAGAAUUCCUUUGUCUGUAGAAAAACAAUGGAACGCGAGCUACCUCAUGUGAACGAGCGUCACGAGCUUGUGGCACUCUGCCAGACCACUGACUCAAAGAGCCCUAAUGACCCCCUCCUUUACAGCAGAAGCCUCAAACAAGUUUCUAAAGACUGUUGACAUAUUGUGGAAGCCUUAGGAAGUGCAACAUGACCAAUAUCCCACUGUAUCUUCAAUAUGGAAUGAGUUGGAAAAACGACCAACCUCAGAUUUCCCACUUCCUGGUUGGAUUUUUUUCUCAGGUUUUUGCCUGCCAUAUGAGUUAUGUUAUACUCACAGACAUCAUUCAAACAGUUUUAGAAACUUCAGAUUGUUUUCUAUCCAAAUAUACUAAUAAUAUGCAUAUAUUAGCAACUGGGACUGAGUAACCUUAUUCAUCCAAGUUACUCAAUACUGCCCCCAGCCAUAAGAAGUUAUUAAUUAACAAAGCAAAUUUGAGGAAAACAGUACCGAAGUCAAUAAAUCAUAUUUAUUUAUAAAGCCCUUUUUACAUCAGCUGAUGUCACAACGUGCUGUUCAGAAACCCAGUCUAAAACCCCAAACAGCAAGCGAUGCAGGUGUAGAAGCACGGUGGCUAAGACAAACUCCCUAGAAAGGCCGGAACCUAGGAAGAAACCUAGCGAGGAACCAGGCUAUGAGGGGUGACCAGUCCUCUUCUGGCUGUGCCGGGUGGAGUUCUAUCAACACAUUGACUGUAGUACUCACGCUGCAAAAACACUUGACCACUGUUACUUGCCCUUCCCCGCCCUCCCUUUGGCAAAUCAGAUCACAACUCCCUUUUUCUCCUCCCUUCCUAUAGGCAGCGCUGGUCUGACCAUGCUUCAAGAUUGUUUUGAUCACGCAGACUGGGAUGUGUUCCAGGUUGCCUCUGAGAAUAAUAUUAAUGUGUACACGGACACGGUGACUGAGUUCAUCAGGAAGUGUAUGGGGAUGUUGUUCCCACUGUGCCUAUUAAAACCUACCCAAACCACAAACCGUGGAUAGAUGGCAGCUUUCGCACAAAACUGAAAGCGUGAACAACCUCAUUUAACCAUGGCAAGGUGACUGGGAAAAUGGUUGAAUACAAACAGUGUAGUUAUUCCCUCUGUAAGGCAAUCAAACAGGCAAAACGUCAGUAUAGAGACAAAGUGGAGUCGUAAUUCAAUGGCUCAGACACGAGACGUAUGUGGCAAGGAAGGUCUACAGACAAUCACAGAUUACAAAGGGAAACCAGCCAUGUCGCGGACACCGAAGUCUUGCUUCUGGACAAGAUAAACACUUUCUUCACCCGCUUCGCCUGCAUCAAACCUGGAACAGAGAGAUUGAAAAUCAGCUUCUAUCUCAAGGCCAUCAGACUGUUAAAUAGCCAUCACUAGCCGGCUACCACCGGAUUACUCAACACUGCACCUUAGAGGCUGCUGCUCUAUAUACAUAGACAUGGAAUCCCUGGUCACAAUAAUAAUGUUUACGUACUGCUUUACUCAUCUCAUAUGUACAGUAUAUUCUGUUUUCUACUCUACUGUAUUUUACUCAAUGCCACUCUGACAUUGCUCCUCCUAAUAUUUAUAUAUUUCUUAAUUCCAUUCUUUACUUUUAGAUUUGUGCAUAUUGUUGUGAAUUGUUAGAUACUACUGCACUGUUGGAGAUAGGAACACCAGCAUUUCACUACACCCGCAAUAACAUCUGCUAUAUAUGUGUAUGUGACCAAUAAAAUCUGAUUUAAUUUGUUUUUUGGCAGUAAAUCUUGGCAAAUCCCGGUAAUCAAGUGUGCCUACAUUCAACCCAAAACUGGAUGUCUGAACAAAGUCAAUAAUUCUGAAUGUCAAUAGAUUUUUAAAAAAUUUAAAAAAUCAUUAUCAUCAAUGACAACAGUCACUCAUUUAAGUCUGGUAUCUGGGGUAAUCUGGUUAAUUAAUAUAUAAUUUUAUAAGUGUCUCUUUCCUUGUAGAAUGUUGACAGCUGUAUAGAAAACAUUGUAUUGCUAUGAUGCUCAAACUUAACUUAAUAGCUACAUUCACCGACAGGAUAAACUUUAACCCUCAUGCUGGCCCUGACCAAACCGGUAGGUUUCCCCUCACUAUAGCUGCACUUCUCCACAUGGCUAGACUUACAGUUCAUUUGGAAAGUAUUCAGACCCCUUAACUUUUUCCACAUUUUGUUACAUUACAGCCUUAUUCUAAAUUUGAUAAAAUAGUUUUUUCCCUUAUCAAUCUACACACAAUACCCCAUAUUGAAAAAGCAAAAACAGGUUUUUAUACAAUUUAUCAAAUGUAUUACAAAUAAAUAAAAAAUGAAAAAUACCCUUUACUUAAUACUUUGUUUCAGCAGCUUUGGCAGAAACUACAGCCUUGAGUCUUCUUGAGUAUGAAGCUACAAGAUUGUCACACCUGUAUCUGUUGGGGUUCUCCCAUUCUUCUCUGCAGAUCCUCUCAAGCUCUCAGGUUGGAUGGGGGUGUCGCUGCACAGCUAUUUUCAGGUCUCUCUAGAGAUGUUCGUUCUGCCACUAAAGGGCAUUCAGAGACGUGUCCCGAUGCCACUCCUGCAUUGUCUUGGCUUUGGGUCAUUGUCAUGUUGGAAGGUGAUCCUUUGUCUCAGUCUGAGGUCCUGAGCACUCUGGAGGAGGUUUUCUCUCUCUGUACUUCUCUGUUCAUCUUUCCCUCGAUCCUGACUAGUCUCCCAGUCCCUGCAGCUGAAAAACAUCCCCAAAGCAUGAUGCUGCCACCACCAUGCUUCACCGUAGGGAUGGUGCCAGGUUUCCUCCAGACAUGACGCUUGGCAUUGAAGCCACAGAGUUCAAGCUUGAUUUCAUCAGACCAGAGAAUCUUGUUUCUCAUGGUCUGAGAGUCCUUUAGGUGCCUUUUGGUAAACUCCAAGCGGCCUGUCAUGUGUCUUUUACUGAGGAGGGGCUUCUGCCUGGCCGCUCUACCAUAAAGAUCUGAAUGGUGGAGUGCUGCAAAGAUUGUUGUUCUUCUGGAAGGUUCUACCAUCUCACAGAGGAACUCUGGAGCUCUGUCAGAGUGACCAUUGGGUUCUUGGUCACCUCCCUGACCAAGGCCCUUCUCCCCCAAAUGCUCAGUUUGGCUGGGUGGCCAGCUCUAGGACGAGUCUUGGUGGUUUCAAACUUCUUCUAUUUAAGAAUUAUGGAGGCCAAUAUAUUAUUAGCGACCAUCAAUGCUGCCGAAAUGUUUUGGUACCCCUUCCUCAGAUCUGUGCCUCGACAGAAUCCUGUCUCUGAGCUCUACGGACAGUUCCUUUGACCUCAUGGCUUGGUUUUUGCUCUGACAUGCACUGUCAACUGUGGGACCUUAUAUAGACAGGUGUGUGCCGUUCCAA